UACGAAGGGGGCUAGCGUUGCUCGGAAUUACUGGGCGUAAAGCGCGCGUAGGCGGACCUGCAAGUCGGGGGUGAAAUCCUGGAGCUCAACUCCAGAACUGCCUUCGAUACUGGAAGACUUGAGUCCGGGAGAGGUGAGUGGAACUGCGAGUGUAGAGGUGAAAUUCGUAGAUAUUCGCAAGAACACCAGUGGCGAAGGCGGCUCACUGGCCCGGUACUGACGCUGAGGUGCGAAAGCGUGGGGAGCAAACAGG
rnacentral:rRNA from 1 species